rnacentral:rRNA from 1 species
AUGGCCCCUUAUAGAUUGGCAGCAUUUGGAUUCAGAGGAGCACUGAAAUUGCAAAACAAGUUUUAUGGCCCAUGCCUGGUGAUUCAAAAGGUGGGAAAAUGUGCCUACAAACUGCAACUGCCAAGUUCAGUGCAAAUACAUCCAGUUUUUCAUGUCAGCCAGUUAAAAAAGCAUGUGGGGGACAAAUCAAUACCAGGACCUCAUCUACCAUUGGUGAAUGCGGACGGGACAGUUAAAACAGGGCCAGCUAAAGUACUGCAGGUACGCCAAAUUCCCCGCAAUAAUGCACCAGUUGUCCAGUGGCUUAUCAAGUGGAUCAACCUGCCUACUGAAGAUGCAACGUGGGAAGAUACUGAUUUCAUUAAGUAUACGUUCCCGGACUUCUUCAGCACCACCACACGUGCGUGGCGAAGCAAACAAGCAGCGCCGUGA